rnacentral:rRNA from 1 species
GCUAAACGCGAAGAACCUUACCAAGGCUUGACAUAUACGAGAACGCUGCAGAAAUGUAGAACUCUUUGGACACUCGUAAACAGGUGGUGCAUGGUUGUCGUCAGCUCGUGUCGUGAGAUGUUGGGUUAAGUCCCGCAACGAGCGCAACCCUCGUUCUAUGUUGCCAGCACGUAAUGGUGGGAACUCAUGGGAUACUGCCGGGGUCAACUCGGAGGAAGGUGGGGAUGACGUCAAAUCAUCAUGCCCCUUAUGUCUUGGGCUUCACGCAUGCUACAAUGGCCGGUACAAAGGGCUGCAAUACCGUAAGGUGGAGCGAAUCCCAAAAAGCCGGCCCCAGUUCGGAUUGAGGUCUGCAACUCGACUCCAUGAAGUCGGAAUCGCUAGUAAUCGUGGAUCAGAAUGCCACGGUGAAUACGUUCCCGGGUCUUGUACACACCG